rnacentral:other from 1 species
CAGGCCCGAGCUUGUGCGCCAGCCGUCUCAUUCGUUGAGCCAACACGAUUGGGAUUGGGUGCCCGGCUCAGGAACGGGUUGUGGCCCGUUCCGGCGGGCGCCCGGACUUGCAGAGCAGGUUCAACUCCCGGGCGGCAGCGGCAGGCUGGGGCUGUU